rnacentral:lncRNA from 1 species
UGCAUUCGGUGUGGCUCAUUUGGAUUUUUUGCUUACCUCUCACUGGGUGAAAGUUGAAUCUGUUAGGGCUGCAGUUCUCACCUGGGACUCAGAUCCUCCACCAAGCUCUUCAGGCACACCACAGCCUCCUUGUACUUAGGAAGGCUCGGCAGCAGGACAGCAUGGCACUUGGGAGCCACUUCGAACAGCAAAAUCACCAACAAAAAGCACUAAAUUGUGGAAAAGGUGC